UACAUGUGGGGCAAGCGUUGUUCGGAAUUACUGGGCGUAAAGGGUGCGUAGGUGGCUUGUUAAGUCAGGGGUGAAAGUUUUCGGCCCAACCGGAAAAUGGCCUGUGAUACUGGCGAGCUCGAGUGCGUGAGGGGUAACCGGAACGAGCAGUGUAGCGGUGAAAUGCGUAGAUAUUGCUCGGAAGGCCAACGGCGAAGGCAGGUUACUGGUGCGCAACUGACACUGAGGCACGAAAGCGUGGGGAGCAAACAGG
rnacentral:rRNA from 1 species